GUCUACGACCAUGCCACCCUGAACGUGCCCAAUCUCGUCUGAUCUCGGAAGCUAAGCAGGGUGGGGCCUGGUUAGUACUUGGAUGGGAGACCACCUAGGAAGACCAGGUGCUGUAGGCA
rnacentral:rRNA from 1 species